GACUGGUCUGAUGGUAGUGGAUUAUCAGAACCUAUUAACAUUAGUAUCAGUAAAGUUGGUGUUCAACUCCACACUGCUAACUUUGACUGGCUUUUG
rnacentral:Y_RNA from 1 species